UAUAAGCUAUUAAGGGCUAAUGGUGGAUGCCUUGACUGUAAGAGGCGAUGAAGGACGUAUUAGGCUGCGAUAAGCCUCGGGGAGCUGCCAAAGAGCUUUGAUCCGAGGAUUUCCGAAUGGGGCAACCCAGCAUAUAGAGAUAUAUGUUACCCUACGGGGAGCGAACCUGGUGAAGUGAAACAUCUCAGUAGCCAGAGGAAGAGAAAUCAAAUGAGAUUCCCAUAGUAGCGGCGAGCGAACUGGGAUUAGGACAAACCCAAUGCUUGCAUUGGGGGUUGUAGGACUAUAAUGUGUAAUUAAAGAGAAUAGAUGAAUUAGUUGGAAAACUAGAGCAUAGAAGGUGAUACUCCUGUAAUUAAAAUUCUCAAUAAUACUAAUAGUAUCCUGAGUAGGUCGGAACACGUGAUAUUUUGACUGAAGCUGGGGGGACCACCCUCCAAUCCUAAAUACUACUUACAGAUCGAUAGUGAACAAGUACCGUGAGGGAAAGGUGAAAAGUACUGCAGCGAGCAGAGUGAAAUAGAACCUGAAACCAUUAGCUUACAAUCAUUCAGAGCCCUAUGAUUUAUCAGGGUGAUGGACUGCCUUUUGCAUAAUGAGCCUGCGAGUUGUGGUGUCUGGCAAGGUUAAGCCAAGUGCGAAGCCGUAGCGAAAGCGAGUCUUAAUAGGGCGACAUAGUCAGAUGCUGCAGACCCGAAACGAAGUGAUCUAUCCAUGAGCAGGUUGAAGCUGGUGUAAGAGCCAGUGGAGGACCGAACCCGCUGACGUUGAAAAGUCUUGGGAUGACUUGUGGAUAGGGGUGAAAGGCCAAUCAAACUUCGUGAUAGCUGGUUCUCUCCGAAAUAUAUUUAGGUAUAGCCUUGUGUUGUAGCAUAUAGGGGUAGAGCACUGAAUGGGCUAGGGCUGCUUACCGCGGUACCAAACCCUAUCAAACUAUGAAUACUAUAUGUGGAAUCACAGGAGUCAGGCGGUGGGUGAUAAAAUCCGUCGUCAAGAGGGGAACAACCCAGACUAACAGCUAAGGUCCCUAAGUUACAUCUAAGUGGAAAACGAUGUGGAGUUACUGUGACAACCAGGAGGUUGGCUUAGAAGCAGCCAUCCUUUAAAGAAAGCGUAACAGCUCACUGGUCUAGUGAUUCUGCGCGGAAAAUAUAACGGGGCUAAGAUGUACACCGAAGCUUUAGAUUCAAUUUUUAAUUGAGUGGUAGGAGAGCGUUCUAUUCAGCGUUGAAGGUAUACCGGUAAGGAGUGCUGGAGCGGAUAGAAGUGAGCAUGCAGGCAUGAGUAGCGAUAAUUAAGGUGAGAAUCCUUAACGCCGAAAACCCAAGGUUUCCUACGCGAUGCUCGUCAUCGUAGGGUUAGUCGGGUCCUAAGUCGAGACUGAAAAGUGUAGACGAUGGCAAAUUGGUUAAUAUUCCAAUACCAACAUAUAAGCGCGAUGUGGGGACGCAUAGAGUUAGUCGAGCUCACUGAUGGAAUAGUGGGUCGAAGGAUGUAGGUUGUUAAGUAGGCAAAUCCGCUUAACGUUAGACCGAGAUCUUACAGGCUCUUGACACUCUUCGGAGGAGAUGGAGAAUCGAUGAUACUGUCGUGCCAAGAAAAGCCACUAAGUUUAUUAUAUGUUGCCCGUACCGUAAACCGACACAGGUGGGUGGGAUGAGUAUUCUAAGGCGCGUGGAAGAACCCUCUUUAAGGAACUCUGCAAAAUAGCACCGUAUCUUCGGUAUAAGGUGUGCCUACUUUGGUAUAUGAACUUGCUUCAAAAAGCUAGAGAGGUUGCAACAAAGAGUCCCUCCCGACUGUUUACCAAAAACACAGCACUUUGCUAACACGUAAGUGGAUGUAUAAGGUGUGACGCCUGCCCGGUGCUCGAAGGUUAAUUGAUGAUGUCAGCGCAAGCGAAGCAUUUGAUCGAAGCCCGAGUAAACGGCGGCCGUAACUAUAACGGUCCUAAGGUAGCGAAAUUCCUUGUCAGUUAAAUACUGACCUGCAUGAAUGGCGUAACGAGAUGGGAGCUGUCUCAAAGAGGAUCCAGUGAAAUUGUAGUGGAGGUGAAAAUUCCUCCUACCCGCGGAAAGACGGAAAGACCCCGUGCACCUUUACUACAGCUUGACACUGUAGCUUGGAUAUUCAUGUGCAGGAUAGGUGGGAGGCUAUGAUGACUAGACGCAAGUAGAGUCGGAGCCAUCCUUGAGAUACCACCCUUGAAUAUUUGAGUUACUAACUGCGAUGAGUUAUCCUCAUUCAGGACAAUGUCUGGUGGGUAGUUUGACUGGGGCGGUCGCCUCCUAAAUAGUAACGGAGGCUUACAAAGGUUAGUUCAAAGCGGAUGGAAAUCGCUUGUUGAGUAUAAUGGCAUAAACUAGCUUGACUGUGAGACCUACAAGUCGAACAGAGACGAAAGUCGGUCAUAGUGAUCCGGUGGUUCUGCGUGGAAGGGCCAUCGCUCAAAGGAUAAAAGGUACGCCGGGGAUAACAGGCUGAUCUCCCCCAAGAGCUCACAUCGACGGGGAGGUUUGGCACCUCGAUGUCGGCUCAUCGCAUCCUGGGGCUGUAGUCGGUCCCAAGGGUAUGGCUGUUCGCCAUUUAAAGCGGUACGCGAGCUGGGUUCAGAACGUCGUGAGACAGUUCGGUCCCUAUCUUCCGUGGGCGUAGGAAAGUUGAAGAGAUUUGUCCCUAGUACGAGAGGACCGGGAUGAACCAACCACUGGUGUACCAAUUGUUCUGCCAAGAGCAUCGUUGGGUAGCCACGUUGGGAUGUGAUAAGAGCUGAAAGCAUCUAAGCUCGAAGCCAACUCUAAGAUGAACUUUCCCUGAAGUUCCCAGCAAGACUAGCUGGUUGAUAGGCUGGAUGUGUAAUGGGUGUAAGCCCUUUAGCUGACCAGUACUAAUAGAACGUUUGGCUUAUUUUUAACAAUUUUCUUUGGUUUACU
rnacentral:rRNA from 1 species